GUUCCCGCCGCACCAUACACCCAGCUCCGCCCGCGCGGCGGCGUCUCAGCCUCUUAGGCUGGGCCGGAAAGGAGGCGGAACGCGGCGACACGGCUCGCGGUUUCCCAGCCGGACCGAAAAGCGGAGCGCACCGAGCGUCGCGGGAGCAUCGCGCCGGCCCUCUGCUCUCGCGACAUGGCCUUCAAUUUUGGGGCUCCCUCGGGCACCUCGGGCACCGCUGCGGCCACCGCGGCUCCCUCGGGAUUUGGUGGGCUUGAGACUGCCAACUCCACCGCCAGUGGGUUUAAUUUUGGGGGUUUCGGAUUAACUGCUAAUCCUGCAGUGAACUUUAAUAUUGGGAAUUUCGGUGUUUCUACUACCUCGGCGACUCCGUUCAAUUUUGGUAACAGUCUGGCGAGUGCAGGUGGGUUUGGAGGAUUUGGAACAACAUCUACAACUGCAGGCUCAGCAUUCAGCUUUUCUGCCCCAGCUAACACAGGCACUACUGGACUCUUCGGUGGUACUCAGAACAAAGGUUUUGGAUUCGGUACUGGGUUUGGCACAACAACAGGAACAAGUACUGGUUUAGGUACUGGUUUGGGAACUGGACUGGGAUUUGGAGGAUUUAAUACACAGCAGCAGCAAAGUACAUUAGGUGGUCUCUUCAGUCAGCCUACACAAGCUCCUACCCAGUCCAACCAGCUGAUAAAUACUGCGAGUGCUCUUUCUGCUCCAACGCUAUUGGGAGAUGAGAGAGAUGCUAUUUUGGCAAAAUGGAAUCAACUGCAGGCCUUUUGGGGAACAGGCAAAGGAUAUUUCAACAAUAACAUUCCACCAGUGGAAUUCACACAAGAAAAUCCCUUUUGCCGAUUUAAGGCAGUAGGUUAUAGUUGUAUGCCCAGUAAUAAAGAUGAAGAUGGGCUAGUGGUUUUAGUUUUCAACAAAAAAGAAACAGAUAUUCGAAGCCAGCAACAGCAGUUGGUAGAAUCAUUGCAUAAAGUUUUGGGAGGAAACCAGACCCUUACUGUAAACGUAGAGGGCAUUAAAACAUUGCCAGAUGAUCAGACAGAAGUUGUCAUUUAUGUUGUUGAGCGUUCUCCAAAUGGUACUUCGAGAAGAGUUCCAGCUACAACAUUAUAUGCCCAUUUUGAGCAAACCAAUGUCAAAACACAACUGCAGCAACUUGGUGUAACCCUUUCCAUGACUAGAACAGAACUUUCUCCUGCACAAAUCAAACAGCUUUUACAGAAUCCUCCUGCUGGUGUUGAUCCUAUCAUCUGGGAACAAGCCAAGGUGGACAACCCCGAUUCUGAAAAGUUAAUUCCUGUACCAAUGGUGGGUUUCAAAGAGCUGCUCCGAAGACUGAAGGUUCAAGAUCAGAUGACUAAGCAGCAUCAAACUAGAUUAGAUAUCAUAUCUGAAGACAUUAGUGAGCUACAAAAGAAUCAAACUACAACCAUGGCCAAAAUUGCACAAUAUAAGAGGAAACUCAUGGAUCUUUCCCACAGAACCUUACAGGUCCUGAUUAAACAAGAAAUUCAAAGGAAGAGUGGUUAUGCCAUCCAGGCUGAUGAAGAACAGUUGCGAGUUCAGCUAGAUACGAUUCAGUGUGAACUAAAUGCACCGACUCAGUUCAAGGGUAGACUAAAUGAACUGAUGUCCCAAAUCAGGAUGCAGAAUCAUUUUGGGGCAGUCAAAUCGGAAGAAAGAUAUUAUAUAGAUGCAGAUCUAUUACGAGAAAUCAAGCAGCAUUUGAAACAACAACAAGAAGGCCUUAGCCAUUUGAUUAGCAUCAUAAAAGAUGAUCUAGAAGAUAUAAAGUUAGUAGAACAUGGAUUGAAUGAAUCUAUCCAUAUCAGAGGCGGUGUCUGUAGUUGACAGUUCACAGACCUGUGUUAGGAGUUGUGUGAAAUGCGUCGUCUUUGUGCAUCAGGCCUCCUUAAGAAUGAAACUGACCACAUGGAGGGAACAAAAAACAAAAAAAAGCUUGACGUGUGCAGUGUUUAUGAAGUCUGCAAUAGUGUCCAUUCAUGUGCCAGGCCCUCACUCGGCACCAACUCAUCCAGAGCAACUGCCAGUCCUGCACGCUCCAUUCAUGUCCUUACAGACAUUCCUGGUGGUAAAUUUGACAAGUUGGCCACAUUCGAGAGAUGACAAUUCUGAAGCACAGAGAAGUCCACAGCUCUCUGAGGCACAGUUAUACCCAGUCACAAUGGAGCAAGAUUCUGAUUACAUCCUCCUGGCUGGAGCUUCUAAAACACCUGGUCACAAGGUUUCAAAGGCGCGUCUCCAAAGACCCCGUCAGUUUCGACCUGCGCUCCCACGGCCGACCUCUGGGUGGCAGCAGAGGGCCGCGGCGCGGCGGGUCGGACACGACAGCUGCGCACCCCGCGCCCUUCCCGCUUCCUCGCGUGGGCCCACGACGCCCUGACCGCUGGGGACCAGAUCGGUGGCGCCCUCUCUUUGGCGCGCUCACAACCCCACUCGCAAGCGUGGAGGGCGAGGGCUCCGCCGCCCUCCUCCGCCCCCCCACACACACCCAGCGCUGCGCACGGCCAGGGCCUCCCUGCCUGCGUGGCUGGCCUGCACGGGUGCACCGGGAGCAGUGUCGUUUCUGCCGGCCCGGCUGCAAGUGGGGUUUGCCCGGGAGACGCUGUGCAGUGUCUCCUGAACGCCGAUGAUCUAGUCACCAAAGAAAGCGCCGUCGUCAGAGGAUGGUAAAGUCUAACAGGCUCGGGGGCCGACGGGGGGACUCUGGCUUGCAGUGUUUGCUGAUUUCCGUGGUGUGACUCCAAACCACAGCCAAUGUCAAGCUAGUGCGAUGUAGCAGGAACUGGGAAGAAGACACGCAUGCCUCCCAACCAAUUCCUGACAGCUUGUGUAAACUGACGACAGCUGGCUUGGUUUUUGGUUAUUUAAGUAAAAUCCCUAACAUAAUACAAAUUUGUUAAUUUAGUCCUCAU